rnacentral:rRNA from 1 species
GUGAGGAAUAUUGCGCAAUGGAGGCAACUCUGACGCAGCCAUGCCGCGUGCAGGAAGAAGGCGCUACGCGUUGUAAACUGCUUUUAACCGGGAAGAAACCCCAGGACGUGUCCUGGGUUGACGGUACCGGAGGAAUAAGCACCGGCUAACUUCGUGCCAGCAGCCGCGGUAGUACGAAGGGUGCAAGCGUUAUCCGGAUUCAUUGGGUUUAAAGGGUGCGUAGGCGGAGCGUUAAGUCAGUGGUGAAAUCCUGCAGCUUAACUGUAGACUUGCCAUUGAUACUGGCGCUCUUGAGUGCGCUUGAAGUGGGCGGAAUGUGCCGUGUAGCGGUGAAAUGCUUAGAUAUGGCACAGAACACCAAUUGCGAAGGCAGCUCACUAAGGCGAUACUGACGCUGAGGCACGAAAGCGUGGGGAUCGAACAGGAUUAGAAACCCCGGUAGUCC